UGGCUCAGAUUGAACGCUGGCGGCAUGCCUUACACAUGCAAGUCGAACGGCAGCACGGGAGCCUGCUCCUGGUGGCGAGUGGCGAACGGGUGAGUAAUACAUCGGAACGUACCCUGAAGUGGGGGAUAACGUAGCGAAAGUUACGCUAAUACCGCAUAUUCUGUGAGCAGGAAAGAGGGGGAUCGCAAGACCUCUUGCUUUAGGAGCGGCCGAUGUCGGAUUAGCUAGUUGGUGAGGUAAAGGCUCACCAAGGCGACGAUCCGUAGCGGGUCUGAGAGGAUGAUCCGCCACACUGGGACUGAGACACGGCCCAGACUCCUACGGGAGGCAGCAGUGGGGAAUUUUGGACAAUGGGCGCAAGCCUGAUCCAGCCAUGCCCGCGUGAGUGAAGAAGGCCUUCGGGUUGUAAAGCUCUUUCGGUGGGGAAGAAAUUGCUUCGGUUAAUACCUGGAGUAGAUGACGGUACCCGCAUAAGAAGCACCGGCUAACUACGUG
rnacentral:rRNA from 1 species